GACGAACGCUGGCGGCGUGCCUAACACAUGCAAGUCGAACGCUUCUUUCCUCCCGAGUGCUUGCACUCAAUUGGAAAGAGGAGUGGCGGACGGGUGAGUAACACGUGGGUAACCUACCCAUCAGAGGGGGAUAACACUUGGAAACAGGUGCUAAUACCGCAUAACAGUUUAUGCCGCAUGGCAUAAGAGUGAAAGGCGCUUUCGGGUGUCGCUGAUGGAUGGACCCGCGGUGCAUUAGCUAGUUGGUGAGGUAACGGCUCACCAAGGCCACGAUGCAUAGCCGACCUGAGAGGGUGAUCGGCCACACUGGGACUGAGGCACGGCCCAGACUCCUACGGGAGGCAGCAGUAGGGAAUCUUCGGCAAUGGACGAAAGUCUGACCGAGCAACGCCGCGUGAGUGAAGAAGGUGUUCGGAUCGUAAAACUCUGUUGUUAGAGAAGAACAAGGACGUUAGUAACUGAACGUCCCCUGACGGUAUCUAACCAGAAAGCCACGGCUAACUACGUG
rnacentral:rRNA from 1 species